ACGCAACAAUAGGGCAACCUGUUGUUGAGUGGCGGAAGGGUUAGUAAUACAUGAAUAACUUGCCUUUAACCUGGGGAUAACGGCUGGAAACGGCCGCUAAUACCGAAUGCGGUUGCUGAAGGAUACUCUGGUUAAUCAAAGUGGGGGACCGGGAAACCGGCCUUGCGGUUAGAGAGAGGUUCAUGGGAUAUCAGCUAGUUGGUGAGGUAAUAGCUCACCAAGG
rnacentral:rRNA from 1 species